rnacentral:rRNA from 1 species
UACGAAGGGGGCUAGCGUUGCUCGGAAUCACUGGGCGUAAAGCGCACGUAGGCGGAUUGUUAAGUCAGGGGUGAAAUCCUGGAGCUCAACUCCAGAACUGCCUUUGAUACUGGCGAUCUCGAGUCCGGGAGAGGUGAGUGGAACUGCGAGUGUAGAGGUGAAAUUCGUAGAUAUCGCAAGAACACCAGUGGCGAAGGCGGCUCACUGGCCCGGUACUGA